rnacentral:rRNA from 1 species
GACAUAGGUCGCAAACGUUAUCCGGAAUUAUUGGGCGUAAAGCGCACGUAGGCGGCUUGGCAAGUCGGAUGUGAAAUCCCUCGGCUCAACCAAGGAAGUGCAUCCGAAACUGCCGAGCUUGAGUACUUAAGAGGAUCGCGGAAUUCCCGGUGUAGAGGUGAAAUUCGUAGAUAUCGGGAGGAACACCAGUGGCGAAGGCGGCGAUCUGGGAAGAUACUGACGCUGAGGUGCGAAAGCGUGGGGAGCAAACAGG